UCCGUGCCCGCAGCCGGGCUCCGGCUCCCGGCGCUGGGAGGCCCCGUACCCGCUGCGGGUGUUGCUGUGGGGAUCGGGCUUGGAGGCGGCCGCAGCCAGCGCCUGGCCCGGCUGUGGUGACGGGAGGGCCUCAUCCAGCGUGCGGGGCAGAGCCGGUACCGCAGAACACGGCAGCCCGGUACCAGAGCACGGCAGCCCGGUACCGGGCCCUCGGUUGUCAGGUUCCACCAAGACCCAGCCCUGCAGAUAUGAUCCAGAGGACAUCCAUGUUUGUAGGAAAGCUCCCACUAACUUCAGCACAUGCUGGACCCGCUCUUUAGACCUGACUGCUGCAGACAAGCUGGUGCUUACAUUUGCAGUGAUGAACACUUACAAGAUCCUUCAGGUCUUGGAUAGCUUGAUUCUUUCCUGCCUUCCCAUCAAUUACCAUAGUGCUGCACCUCUUGGGGCUUGUAGACAUCCUGGCUCCUGGAUUCCCUGUUUGGGGGCUCUGCUAACCCUUUUCCAGAUGAAGAGUGGACACUGAAGAGGCAAAGGUCCUGCAGCACUGACAGAGUCACUGACAAGAGGAGUGGCCUCACCAGCUGUUGUGUCCAGGCUUUCCAACCUACAGAGUACAAGUCAGAGGAGCUGGGUCCCAGUUCUGGCUCUGCCUGUGGUUCUCUGCAUCAUCGUAUUCCCUCUAGGCUUUCUCAGCUGAAAAACAGGAAUCAUAAUAUUUCCUUACCCACAAAAGCUGUUGGAGGAUUACUGCAUUGUUGUGAGUUCCACAGAUGAAAGGUACUACAGAAGAACAAACGGCAAUUAUUGUUUCAAACCCCUGCCCUGGGCCUGUCAUCCUCAACUCGCUGAACAACACUGACUCAAUCGAGGAAAUCCUGCCACCACAGUGAAGAAAAUUAUUGGUAAAGAUGACUCUGUUGCAAUAAGAGCAUUUAUCCGCUUGUGUUCAACUCCUUUCUGUCUGCCACUGGAUGAUCGGAGUCAUAUAAUCGCAGACACUGACUACACGCUCUUAAGCAAUCUUCUAUUUGAACACUAUUAUUUCUUUAUCCCAAACAUGGCUGUUACUGAAUAAAUUCUCUUUUUGUAAUGUACAAUGACAUCCACUCUGUAACAGGCUCUCCUGUGAGUCUGUUUAUAUGUGAGGUCUCUUGGAGCACACCCAAAGUCAGAAUGGCCAAAUCCACAUGCCUGAAGGUGCGUGGGGCUCAUGUCAGCCCUCCGCAUGCAUAGAGAUGUAUGGGGUGUCUGCCAUGUGCCCCGUGGAGGUGGAGGACAGGGUGCCCUGCUGACCUGGCAUUCAUCCCCCUUCAGCAGCCUGCUCCACUUGUAAUGCCCAAGUCCAAAUCCUAACAGUGAGCUCCCUUCCAGCAGGGAGCUGUGGUUUGGAUGGUGAAACAGGCACUGAAAGGUGAGGUAGAGAAUCAGAAGCUUACAGUUAAUAUCUCUAGCACAGCUCAGAAACACCAGGCUCCAGGUCAGUUCCCAACAGUCCCCUGGUGUUGAUGUGUGUUAAACACCAUUGGGUGCAGUCAUGUGAGGCACUGAGUGUGCCCAGUGCUCACAAAACUCACUGACCACAGAGCCACAGGUAUCUCCCUCUUCUAUUCCCAUAACCCUUGUUUUCCAAAGACUUAGAUCCCACCCUGGCACCAAGAGUAGAGAAGCAAAAAGUGUCAGUAUUUAACAGCCCUAAAAACCACUCUGGUGUGGCACAGAUAAGGCUUCUUCUUGUCAGAGCCUAUGGAAAAAGCCUUCUAGAAGGAUGUAUGUACCAGUGUGAAUGAAGGGUUAAAAGUAGUACAUUGGCAAGGAAUAAACAUACUCAGGUGUUAGUUAACAAGGUACUAAUUGGGUAACUGGAGGUGCAACAUAAGAGGCUGCAGAGGCUAAUCAAAGAGCUUUGGGUGGAUGGAGGAUGUUCCUCUGAGCUUGGGGAGGAAGAAGAGGUAAAAAGCUGUUGCUGUGGUCUUGUGUUUUAUGGAAAAGCUGGCAUUGAUGUAUUUUCAGAGCAGGCAAACUGGUGUAUCUUGUGUGAAAAACUAACAUGAUAGAAGAUUUUCUAGUUUAAAGAUUGCACUUACCUUUUCUUUAGCCUGAGUGCUUUGAAUUAAGCUUGAAUCUUUCUGGUUUGACUUCACUGUACUUCCUCUGGAGCUUACUCAAAUGGAGCUAGGCUCUGCCUCUUUGGCUGAACCAUUAUCCAAACUCACUGCAUUACAUAAAGAAAGCUUUGAGGAUUAUUAGAAGAUUUUUGCUUUCCUGUUCCCUUGGAGGAUGCAGAUGGGUUCUUCAGGUGUAGGCUUGCAGACCUGCAGGUAGGUGUGUUACUGGUGCGCUCCAAGCGGAAAGUUGAUAGUAGUGAAAUCUCUGGGUGCAGUUUCCAACGAGAAUUGUUUUGCCUGCUCAGCCUCGUGUAUCACAAAUGUUACGAUUUGGGUUGAAGCUGUCUUACACUCACCCAGGUGAGGUAAGGAAGUGUGAGGUGUAGUUGGAGACUGCUUUUUGGGUUGCAGUUCUGAUGCUUGUGCCAUUACCAGGUUGCAUUUGGAUUUGCAGUGGGACUGUUGGAUGGUCAAGUCAAAAAGGUCAGUUUGAGGAGGAGCCCAGGUCAUGCACUGACCGGGGGUGUGAGUGCACCCAUCUUCAGUGCUGUCUCACUAAAUAUGUCCCAGCAUGAGCAGGCUCCUGGAUUUCAAUGUGCCUUGAAGUUGGUGUAAAAAAAGCCCUUUUCAGGGGUUUCUUUCUGGCAUGUGCACAGCCUGUGUUUCAUCCUGAGGCAGCUGCAAACCUGGUGCAGUGGGGUCUUCCUGAGCAUGACCCCAGUGCCUGUAUCACAUCUCCUGAGAAUUUCAGUCCUGUUGGUCGCGUUUUAAACGGCUGGAAAUAAGGUCUUCCAAUACCACUGCCUUCACCUUAUGUCUACACUGAGCUGACCUACUGGCGUAACAGUGUGGCAGCCUCUGCCAUCUUUGUCCACAGCCACAUCCCAAAACUGCUCCUUACUUCAAAUGUUUCCCCUGGAUUCAUUUAUGUUUCUAAUUUUUGUUUAUUCCUUUUUGUGCCCGAGUAAUUAAACUGUGUUUUCGAUUGCA